rnacentral:rRNA from 1 species
UACGUAGGGUGCGAGCGUUAAUCGGAAUUACUGGGCGUAAAGCGUGCGCAGGCGGUUUUGUAAGCCAGGUGUGAAAUCCCCGGGCUCAACCUGGGAAUGGCAUUUGGGACUGCAAGGCUGGAGUGCGGCAGAGGAGACUGGAAUUCCUGGUGUAGCAGUGAAAUGCGUAGAUAUCAGGAGGAAUACCGACGGCGAAGGCAGGUCUCUGGGCUGACACUGACGCUCAUGCACGAAAGCGUGGGGAGCAAACAGG